rnacentral:piRNA from 1 species
UNCUGUCAAGAGCUCAUCUACGCCUAGG